ensembl:processed_transcript Gm29521 predicted gene 29521
AGAAAAGUAGGAGACAGUGUCUCCACCCGAUUCGUAUCCUACAUCAUUUCCAGGGAAGGGAUAAAGACAAGCACACACCUCGCUCUCAUGCGGGCAGGAAGGCUGCCUGGAACCUCCCUCGUCUAAGGACAGUUUUGGAGGAGGACAAGCCUGCUGUGGAGGGUACAUGCAAAGAGAUUACCCGUCUCUGCCUUCCGCUGUGGCUUGCCAUGUCUCCUGUCUCCGAUCUCCUCUGCCCAAUCUUCAAUCGGAACGCUAGACAAUCCCGGGCUGUCUGCUCACUACCAGUUAAGACUGGAACUUGAGGUUUCUGCGUCCUCACUGGGAAUCAAGGUUUGGGAGGAGAGGUUGUUCCUUGUCCUCUUGACUGUCCUCUUGUUUUACAGUUGGUGUUGAGGACAGGCGUGGGCGGCCUGUGGGGUGUGCUAACCAGAGGUCAGUGUGCCCAAAGUCUCCCUUAGCUUUGUUGGCCCUCACGUCGGUGUCCUACGUAGUCAGGAAGCUGAGGCAUUUGGAUUAUCAGCUCCCUGCUUCCAUGUUCUGAGGUCACUUCUCUGUCUAGAUGCUUCUUCCCUGCGUGCUCUCUGAAAAGACCCUUUCUCCAUCUUGAAAGGAGGCUCAGUGCGGCCUCCUUUUUUGCUAUUCCUAACCACUAGGCUUCUCCUGCCUCCUUCCUCUCUACCUCUCUUCCUGACUGAACUGGUCUCUGCUGCAGUUUCUGCUCCCCUAGUUUUCAUAGAGCUCCUCUUUCUUGUCCUCCAGGAUUCAGCCAAUGGUUCCCCCACAAAGACAGGUUUUCCUUGACCUCUGAAGCUAAAGGACCCCAGGCCCAUACACCUUCAUCUCCAUUUCUCACAAGCCCUGGUGUUUUGAAUCUUGGAGCACUGGGUGACAAAGGAGGCCACUGACUGCAGGUUGUGUUUUUCCUCAUCCUUUGUCCACUGGCCUUGCAGGUCGCAGGCAGGAGAUUGAAGCAGGGUAGGAGGUAUAGGCUGAGUUUCCAGUUCCUGCCUCAGGUCGUAGCUUCAGUGGCGGUCAAGGCCAUUGGAAACCUUUGAAGGAUGUUAAGCAGAAGGCGGUAUCAUCUAGUACAAACGUUCUGAAAACAUCACUGUGAUUGCUCUGUGCAAAAUGUAUUGGAUUUGGGGAAAGGAUUUAGGAGGCAGUCCCAGUGAGAAAUGAUAAUAGCUUGGACCAGAGUGAUUGCAGCUCAGAGGGAGAGAAGUGGGCAGAUUAAAGCUGUCUUUGAAGGAAGGAUUAACAGAAGUUGGUGAUUGUUUGGGUGCCAUGCUUGAGGGAGAAGUAGGGUUAGAAAUGACUUCCUGGUUUCUGGUUUGGGCAACUGUGUGGACAGAAUGUCAUUUAUCAUGAUGAUAAAAAGUUAGAUGAAACGGACAUUGGUCUGUUUAGGGGGAAAGUUCAUGUGUAUUUCUGUGGUCAUUUUUCUCUUUGAUUCCAUAGUAUGAUUUCUCUAUCAAAUCUAUUACCUAUCAUCUAUGGAUCUUAUUAUUUUUUUAUAUGCUAUCUACUAUGCUUUGAUAUUUGGACUGUGUUACACAAACUAUAUGAUUAUCUUAUGUUCUAAUUGUUGUGCAUAGGUAGAAUAUUUGAUGACAUAAGAUAUAGGUACCUUAUCAAAUUCAUAACUUGAAUCCUGUAAUGGUGUUUUGUUUUGGUGUAUAAAUUCCUUAAGAUUUUAUAUGGACGCAAAAUAUUGCUUGUGAAUAAUCACAGUUUACUUUUCUUAUUGACAAUCUGUGAGGCUUACUUCUAUAACUUACAAAAGCUAAAAUCUCAGAUCUGUGAGACUUUUCCUUGGAAAAUAUGAACAAACAUCUACUUACUCAAGACAGGGAGACAACAGACCAGAGGGCAAUUCUACCAAAGUCCAACUUGACAAACCAAUAUGCAUUUAUUAAGGAACGGUUCAAAGAUAGUCAUAUGACUCCACAGACCUCCCAGACUGGGUAAUAAUGCUUAGAAGCUGCAACCUUUGAGAUCCCUGCAGGACUUGUAGGCUGUUCAAUAGAUCUGAGCUCCUCAUGCUGCAGAGACAGCCUUAGGAAAGGGUCAUAUAGCUUUUGCUAGUUUCAGUAACUUCCUGAGACUUGUUCAAAGUCUCCUGCCUGGAAGGAAUUUGUUACCCAGCAACCUCCCACACCAAACUUGGUAGAAGUGACAAGAGUGAAUAACUGAAACUUUAUAACUGACACUCAGUGCUGUGUCAUAAAAUGUAAUAUUAACUAUAGGAUUAAUCAGUGUUAUAGGAUUAAACAUUGAAUCUAUAGAUAUGACUCCAUGGCUAAGAACACUUGCUAAUCUUCCAGACAACCAGAGUUCAAUUCCUAGCACCUACAUCAGGUAACCUAUAACUGCUUAUAACUCCAGGUUCAAGGGAUCUGACAACUUUUUCUGUCCUCUACUGGCACCUAUACCCAUAUGCAUACACUAACAUAGACUAAAAUAUACACAUAUACAAUCUCACACAGUAUAGUCUCUGAUCCUCUGGCUCUUGCUCUCUUUCUGUCCUCUCUUCUGCAAUAUUCCUUGAGCCUAGGUGUAACUACAUGAGGAAAAGCCUAUGAGGUCUCAACCCUACACAAAGAGCCACAGGCAACUGAGGAAAGCUGGGCCCUUGGCUCUUCCCAAGAGAGAGUAUACCAACUGGGUGAUCAGUGCCAAAAGGGCAGACCUGAAAACACACAUACAAGUUACAUUAUAUGGACUCAACAUAGUGUAUUUAGAAAUAUAUAUGUAUAUACAGAUACAAAUGUACAUGUGAUAACAAUUGAUGAAAAAAAAAGGCCGUGAAUUUGAAGGAGAGUUGGGAGGGGUACAGGGGAGGGUCUCU